rnacentral:tRNA from 1 species
CAAGGAAUAGUUUAUGUAGAACUUCAGCUUUGGGUGCUGAGAGUGAGGUAAAAUGCUUCUUCCUUGA